GGCCGUGUAGCUCAGUGGUUUAGAGCACCGGACCCAGCUUGUCCAGAGGUCUUGGGUUCAAUCCCCAAUGUGGCCA